GUCCACGCCCUAAACGAUGAUCACUCGAUGUGUGCGAUAUACUGUACGCGUCUGAGCGAAAGCAUUAAGUGAUCCACCUGGGGAGUACGACCGCAAGGUUGAAACUCAAAGGAAUUGACGGGGGCCCGCACAAGCGGAGGAGCAUGUGGUUUAAUUCGAUGAUACGCGAGGAACCUUACCAGGGCUUGAAAGUUAGUGAAGUAUGUGGAAACAUAUACGUCAGCAAUGACACGAAACUAGGUGCUGCAUGGCUGUCGU
rnacentral:rRNA from 1 species